UACGUAGGGGGCAAGCGUUGUCCGGAAUUAUUGGGCGUAAAGAGCGUGUAGGCGGUCCGGUAAGUCAGCUGUGAAAGUCCAGGGCUCAACCCUGGAAGGCCGGUGGAAACUGUCGGGCUAGAGUCCGGAAGAGGCGAGUGGAAUUCCCGGUGUAGCGGUGAAAUGCGCAGAUAUCGGGAGGAACACCAAUGGCGAAGGCAGCUCGCUGGGACGGUACUGACGCUGAGACGCGAAAGCGUGGGGAGCAAACAGG
rnacentral:rRNA from 1 species